AUCAGAUGUCAAGAAAUGUGAGUGAGGCAAGGCAGGAGACAUCAUGACUGUGUUAACUCAUUACACUGCCCGAGAACAUAAAAAUUAUUGCCAGGCUGUUUCUGACCAGUCAUGAAUGUGUCAUUUUAAAGCACAGACUAAUAAGGUGAUGAAAGAUUUUAAGAGAAAAAAGAAGGCAACCCGUCUUAGGAUUUGAAUCAGACAGCUGCGGCAGCAAGCUUGACCAAAGGUUUGGCCAGCUUGCAGUGAAUAUGGCAUUGGAACAUGCAUGAAACAAGGAGGAAAAAAGGAGUUGAGCUGCUGUUGCUUCAAAGGCUGGAUUACUGCCACAUCCCUGAGAUAUCCAAAUUAUGAGUUUGUGCGUCGUGAGCUCAGAAUGAUUUGGGCACGCAGUAGUGACCGUGAAAGUUUCUGGCUUCUCUGCAUUUCUUAGAUAAGCUGCUUGGUUUUGUAACACAUUAAACAGCUAGAAUCGUCUUCCCUGCAAACGCUCGAGUGACCAUCACUCAUCUCCUCAGGCAGGCAGGCAGGCGGUCAAGGACAGUCUGGCUGUCUUGUUCUUCAUCCUGUGGUCCCCUCUGACUGAGCUGGGAAAAUAGAGCUUCCUCAGGUCAGGACUGUCUGUGGAGCUCACUCCCUGGGGAUGCCAGCCAUCGUUCUGCUCCAGCCGUCUUCAGGUCUCCCGGUGCAGCUCUUCAAAGUCAGUACGUUUUUUGGCAGCUCCAUCUUCCCUUUCUUUAAACUUAUUUGAUAUGUUUAAUACAGGGAGGUUGUGAUGUCCACUUAAGUGUCUGCCGUAUCCUAAAAGCCUGGAUAAAAGAUUUAGUUAAAAUUAAAGAAAAAGAUAACAGCGGGUUAAAUUUGUUGUGGUCUGAUUGCGUGGAAGUCUGUAGAGUUACACCUGGAGUGACUCUGGUGUAACGCGUGUGGCAAACUUGUGACUGACAGGAGA